GGACCUCUGGCGGGUGGGCAGGUGUGGUCCCGCUUUCCUUUUCCUCUCCCGGUUCAGACGCGUUUGGUGCAAGAACGAGCUACAGUGGGGAGAAACGCGUGGUAGUAGCGCCAUGGCGAGCCGAGAGGGUGGGAAGAAGAAACCCUUGAAGCAGCCCAAGAAGAUGUCGAAAGAAAUGGAUGAGGAAGACAAAGCUUUCAAGCAAAAGCAGAAGGAGGAGCAGAAGAAAUUGGACGAGUUGAAGGCAAAAGCUGCUGGAAAGGGCCCGCUUACUGGAGGUGGGAUUAAGAAGUCUGGUAAGAAGUAGCAGCUUUCAUAAGACUACGUGCCAAGUGAAGAAUUUUACUCCCCCUGGGAUGCUUAGCAGUGAGAUGGAUUUCCAGGCUGAAGUUGCGGGAAACAUUAAUUUGAGCACCUUUGUACAUUUUGUUCAAAUAAAAUAAAUGGGGUUUUUUGGUUAA